CUAACCAUAAUCAUGUUCCCAAAAUUCUUAUUAAGCUUAACAAUAAUUAUUAAGCAUUAAAAUGCUAGAUAGUCUACUUUCAACCUACUAUACAAAAGUAGAAUGAAAAAAUAAUUUCCUACUUUAUUAAAGUAGAAGGAAUGUUCCAGAGAAAAAGAAUGUUUUAUUUAAAUGUAUAUUUUAUUUCAUGUCCCCAUUUUAGUCUAAGUCUGGAGUAUCGAUUAAUUUAAGUAAGCCGCCAGGUGGGCCACUUGUCGAGGCAGAAGAGAACAGUUGAUGUUUUAAUUAAGUGUCUUGGCAGAAACAGAAGGUAGCCAUUGUUCAUUUUAGGGCGUGUAUCGCCAUUGACAACUCGUUUCUUACUGUGCUUUAUUGGUGUGAAUUCUCACCUUGUGACUCCCUAUUAUUCAUUUGAGACUUUGAGAUUAGGCCGGAUUAGGCCCUAGAUUUGAUUUUGUGUCGUUUGUGUCUACGAUUGCCUUAUUGACCGGCUCCCCAAUUGUGGAUGCUAGGCAAUUUGUGCUCUGUCCAAUUUGUAUUGACGAAUAAAUCCGUGAAUCGAUUAGAAGCAAUUGAUAGGCCUAAGCCCCCUCCUCUACUGUCUCAUUCUCUCGCUGAUCAAGGAAUUUCCUACCUUUUCCCUAUUUUCCAACGUAGAAGGAAUAAAAUUUCCUACUUUUCCCUACUUUCAAAAGUAGAAGGGAUAAAAUAGUUUCCUACUUCGUUAAGUAGAAGGAAUUUCCUACCUUUUUCCUACUUUUUCACUUCUUGAUCUAACAGCUCCAGAACCCGUCCUCGUUCUAGCUCUCCCCUUCCUCGACCGUCAC